AUUGAACGCUGGCGGCAGGCCUAACACAUGCAAGUCGAGCGGAUGAAGGGAGCUGCUCCUUGGUUUCAGGGGGGGAGGGUGAGUAAUUCCUUGGAAUCUUCCCGGGUGUGGGGGAUAACGUCCGGAAACGGGCGCUAAUACCGCAUACGUCCUGAGGGAGGAAGUGGGGGAUCUUCGGACCUCCCGCUAUCAAAUUGACCUAGGUCGGAUUUGCUAGUUGGUGGGGUUAAGGCCUAACAAGGCCGAGAUCCGUAACUGGUCUGUGAGGAUGAUCAGUCACACUGGAACUGAGACACGGUCCAGACUCCUACGGGAGGCAGCAGUGGGGAAUAUUGGACAAUGGGCGAAAGCCUGAUCCAGCCAUGCCGCGUGUGUGAAGAAGGUCUUCGGAUUGUAAAGCACUUUAAGUUGGGAGGAAGGGCAGUAAGUUAAUACCUUGCUGUUUUGACGUUACCAACAGAAUAAGCACCGGCUAACUUCGUG
rnacentral:rRNA from 1 species